rnacentral:rRNA from 1 species
AUACGGAGGGUCCAAGCGUUAUCCGGAUUCAUUGGGUUUAAAGGGUCCGCAGGCGGGAAAAUAAGUCAGUGGUGAAAGCCUACAGCUCAACUGUAGAACUGCCAUUGAAACUGUUUUUCUUGAGUAUAGAUGAAGUGGGCGGAAUAUAUCAUGUAGCGGUGAAAUGCAUAGAUAUGAUAUAGAACACCAAUUGCGAAGGCAGCUCACUAAACUAUUACUGACGCUCAGGGACGAAAGCGUGGGGAGCGAACAGGAUUAGAUACCCCAGUAGUCC